rnacentral:rRNA from 1 species
UACAGAGGUGGCAAGCGUUGUUCGGAAUUACUGGGCGUAAAGGGCGCGUAGGCGGCCUUCUUAGUCGGACGUGAAAUCCCCAGGCUUAACUUGGGAACUGCGCUUGUGACUGGCGUGCUGGAGUGUGGCAGAGGGAGGUGGAAUUCCACGUGUAGCAGUGAAAUGCGUAGAGAUGUGGAGGAACACCGAUGGCGAAGGCAGCCUCCUGGGCCAGCACUGACGCUCAUGCACGAAAGCGUGGGGAGCAAACAGG